CUCAGAGGGUUGAUGAGCUCUGAUGAGAGCCUAUUGUUUUACUCCACUCCUCGCAUGUCAGCCAAUCGGUGAAGCUCUAGGCAGCUCUUGUCCCUCCUUAGUGCCAGCUCCCAAGUUUGCAGUCUCUUGCUUCUACAGCCGAACAGAGCAGGCGGACUAAAACUUUGCUAUCGAGGGCAGAGCGAAACCGGAAGGUUUACUGAGCUGUGGCUUCACGUAAAUGCUGAGCAUACACUCGACGGCGGUCAGGUUUUUUAUAUGGGACGAAUCCAAAGACCAGGUCAGCGAUUCCAGAACCCAGAGUGUUCCAGUGUUCACUGGAUGGCGAGCCAACCCAAGAUCCUAGGAGACGAUAUACAUACACAAGCACACUCAUUUGCACAUUGAUGGACUACAAUCCUCUACUGUACAAGUAGUACGGUAGGAUAGACAAUCACACACACUCUUACCAUUGGACGGACUCUAUUGCAAUACACCCGUUUUCAUGGGCCCCACCGGUACCAUUUGGACUUAAAAAAGACUAAUACUUUUACUUGUGCACAAUUUUAUUUUAUUCUAUUGUUUUGCUACUUUGGGGGAAAUUUUUAUACUGGAAGUUCUGUUAAAACCUGUUGAAAUACUGUGUUGUUUACAAAUUCCUUUUAAAAGGCUUAAAAUCACUAAAGCACUUUUAAGCCACA